CUUAAAAACCUGUUCAUUCGCAGUGCUGUGAUUACAUCUCGAGGCGCCCUCUACACGUGGGGUCGUGGUCUACAAGGCCGUCUCGGUCACGGCACCAUCGAGAACUGUCUCACGCCGCAACCUGUUUCCUUUAACGCACAUAACAUCGAACGCGUCAUCGAUGUCGCGUUAGGUUGGGGUGAAUCCCAAACCCUAUGCUGUACAUGGGAAGGCGCAGUGCAAGUGUUUGGCGACACCGAGGGUGGUGUUCCGCGGACCCUUACAACCUUAUCGUGUUUACGUAUAACUCGCGUCUACACCGGCGAACAUUGGCAUGCCGCCCUUACUGACACUGGACAAGUGUACACAUGGG